UAAACCAGUUUAAUGUUUUUUUGCACAGACCCUGGCUUUUCUUAAAUUUUAUAUAUUGGAAAGCCCGUGUUUGUAUUGGACCUGAUGGUUAC
rnacentral:pre_miRNA from 1 species